rnacentral:rRNA from 1 species
AGAAUCAACGCUGGCGGCGUGCCUAACACAUGCAAGUCGAACGAGAAAGUGGAGCAAUCCAUGAGUAAAGUGGCGCACGGGUGAGUAACACGUGACUAACCUACCCUUGAGUGGGGGAUAACCUCGGGAAACCGGGGCUAAUACCGCAUAAUAUCGAGAGAUCAAAGGAGCAAUUCGCUUAAGGAGGGGGUCGCGGCUGAUUAGCUAGUUGGUAGGGUAAUGGCCUACCAAGGCUAUGAUCAGUAUCCGGCCUGAGAGGGCGCACGGACACACUGGAACUGAAACACGGUCCAGACUCCUACGGGAGGCAGCAGUGGGGAAUUUUGCGCAAUGGGGGAAACCCUGACGCAGCAACGCCGCGUGGAGGAUGAAGUCCCUUGGGACGUAAACUCCUUUCGAUCGGGACGAUAAUGACGGUACCGGAAGAAGAAGCCCCGGCUAACUUCGUGCCAGCCAGCCGC